rnacentral:snRNA from 1 species
AGCUUUGCACAGUGGCAGUAUCGUAGCCAAUGAGGUUUAUCCGAGGCACAAUUAUUACUAAUUGAAAACUUUUCCCAAUACCCCCCCAUGACGACUUGAAAUAUACUCGGCAUUAGCAAUUUUUGACAGUGUUGUAAAAAA